AACGAACGCUGGCGGCAGGCUUAACACAUGCAAGUCGAACGCAUCCUUCGGGGUGAGUGGCAGACGGGGGAGUAACGCGUGGGAACGUGCCCUUCAGUUCGGGAUAACCCAGGGAAACUUGGGCUAAUACCGGAUACGUGCGAGAGCAGAAAGAUUUAUCGCUGAAGGAUCGGCCCGCGUCUGAUUAGCUAGUUGGUGAGGUAAUGGCUCACCAAGGCGACGAUCAGUAGCUGGUCUGAGAGGAUGAUCAGCCACAUUGGGACUGAGACACGGCCCAAACUCCUACGGGAGGCAGCAGUGGGGAAUAUUGGACAAUGGGCGCAAGCCUGAUCCAGCCAUGCCGCGUGAGUGAUGAAGGCCUUAGGGUUGUAAAGCUCUUUCGUCCGGGACGAUAAUGACGGUACCGGAAGAAGAAGCCCCGGCUAACUUCGUGCCAGCCGCCGCUGUAAAAC
rnacentral:rRNA from 1 species